rnacentral:rRNA from 1 species
UGGGGAAUAUUGCACAAUGGGCGCAAGCCUGAUGCAGCCAUGCCGCGUGUAUGAAGAAGGCCUUCGGGUUGUAAAGUACUUUCAGCGGGGAGGAAGGGAGUAAAGUUAAUACCUUUGCUCAUUGACGUUACCCGCAGAAGAAGCACCGGCUAACUCCGUGCCAGCAGCCGCGGUAAUACGGAGGGUGCAAGCGUUAAUCGGAAUUACUGGGCGUAAAGCGCACGCAGGCGGUUUGUUAAGUCAGAUGUGAAAUCCUCGGGCUCAACCUGGGAACUGCAUCUGAUACAGGCAGGCUAGAGUCUUGUAGAGGGGGGUAGAAUUCCAGGUGUAGCGGUGAAAUGCGUAGAGAUCUGGAGGAAUACCGGUGGCGAAGGCGGCCCCCUAGACAAAGACUGACGCUCAGGUGCGAAAGCGUGGGGAGCAAACAGG